GACGAACGCUGGCGGCGUGCUUAACACAUCCAAGUCGAACGGAAAGGCCCUGCUUUUGUGGGGUGCUCGAGUGGCGAACGGGUGAGUAACACGUGAGUAACCUGCCCUUGACUUUGGGAUAACUUCAGGAAACUGGGGCUAAUACCGGAUAGGAGCUCCUGCUGCAUGGUGGGGGUUGGAAAGUUUCGGCGGUUGGGGAUGGACUCGCGGCUUAUCAGCUUGUUGGUGGGGUAGUGGCUUACCAAGGCUUUGACGGGUAGCCGGCCUGAGGGGGUGACCGGCCACAUUGGGACUGAGAUACGGCCCAGACUCCUACGGGAGGCAGCAGUGGGGAAUAUUGCACAAUGGGCGGAAGCCUGAUGCAGCAACGCCGCGUGCGGGAUGACGGCCUUCGGGUUGUAAACCGCUUUCGCCUGUGACGAAGCGUGAGUGACGGUAAUGGGUAAAGAAGCACCGGCUAACUACGUG
rnacentral:rRNA from 1 species